CAGAAAACACAGCAAUUACAUUCAUAAACAAAGUAGUUCUCCUUUAGCUGUUCUGAUUAUUUUUUUUUUUAAAUAGCAUGAGAAUAUUGUAGGUUCCCAUUAGUUCCAUGAACUGAUGCUCUUAGACCAGACAACUUGCUAAUAUCUUCCCCUUUGCAAUGGAAAAGGUUUCACAUUCUAUUGGAAAUACACACUGACGUGGUGCACCUUUUACAUUCCUCUUGCUUUAGAGCCUUCAAGGCAUCCACAAAUAUUUCUUGUUACUUAGUGCAGUGCUCCUGUAGCAGAAUGAACAGAGCUUCACAGCUCUACUAGUGCAAAACCCUUCCUAUCCUUGAGAAAAAUCCUCGGUACCAACCAAGCAAAAAAAAGACAAAUGUAAAUCUAAAGUAGUGCAAGAGGAGAAAUAUUUCUUUAUGCCACAUAUACAUCACUUUAUCCUUUAUUUGUAAAUGCAGGAAGAAAGAGAAGAGAGCGUGCGUGGUGCUGAGUGGAGAAACUGACAGACACAAAAGCAAUUUCUGAGACUUUGUCCAUGUCAUGCUGGGAAGCAGACAAAGCAAUGAAACGUCAGUCUACCAUGCUGUGAUGAAGCAGAAGAUGGCUCCUCUUGGUGCCUUUCCUGUGUGCUUUCCUGCGUUGGAUAUUCCCUCCAGUCAGAAGUGACUAAGAGAUCCCUGAGAGACUGCUACUUUUGGAAUAGGCAGGUACAGCAUCGUUGAUGGGCUGUUAUUGAAGAUUUGCUCUCAACUCUGCCUUGUUGCUUGAGAAAUGCUGAAGAAAAUAGAGUUGUCAUCUUGCCCUUGGCCAGGAGCAGGAUGGUCAAGCAGCAUGGGGGUAUCAGAAGCUCAUUUGGAGGCAGCAUCCUGAACUCCAUCUGGGAGCUUUGGUAAGAUAUGGCCUCAAACACAAGCAUUAACAGCUCUGCCAGAAACCUCUGUGGACAGUUCUGCAGAGAAAGUAAAUGAUAUUGCCUCUUGCUGUUUUGUUAUCUGACAGUAACUAUGAUAGCCUCGCAGCUUUAUUGGUGGGAAGUGGUAGUAGUGGUACCAUCUCUAGCCCUUGUGAUUGUAGGGAGUUGAAGCUGUGCCCUUUAAAAACUCAAAAUCCUAAAAACAAAUAAAGGAGAAAAGAUGACUGCCUUUCCCUUCUUGUAAAAAGCAACGUCAUGGACUAGGAAGGAACUCUUCUCCUGCUUUUACUGAGGAACUGUAAAUUAUUAUCAUAAAUGGAGUCUACUGCUUUGUUAAAGUAAGAACGUCCGCAAUUUGUUGUAUUUAUCUGACACAAUCUUUUGUAAUCUACAUUUAUGAUAUGAUGUGCCUAUAUUUUUUAUCUUAGGCUUUUAAACAAUUCUACCUUGUGAGAGGUAUGUAAGUUUAAACAGUACUUUCGGUAUCUCAGUUUCACUUGGUUCAUUCUAAUGCAUUCUGUAACUGUAAAUUUAUACCUUUAUUAUGUUUAAAUUGGUAAAAUUUGUUCAUUUUUCCUUUUCAUGCAUCUUUGGAAGUCUGUUAUUGUGUAGGUUUUUGUUGUUGUUUUUUUCAGGUGGAAACUUUCAUUGUGGAAACUUUUUUUUUUUUCUUCCCUUUUUUCAAUCUUUUUUUUGGCAUUCCUUAGUAGCUAAUUCAUUUUCUUCCCUUGAAAAUAUCAAAUCUCACAAAACCCUCUGGUAUGGUAGCUGAAACAUUAAAUUACAGAAAUUUAAUAGAAAAAAAAAAGCCAUUUUAAAUCUUUUGAUUUGUCUGCUUUACAAAUUUUCUGACUUGUAUAUGAUUACAAUAGACUGCUUUUUCAAAAAUCUUUUUUUUGUUGUUGUUACAGGUUUGGAAACUUUCCUGCUGGUGCUAUAUUGAACUGGCUUGCUCACAAGACUGUUUCAAGAAUUCCAUUCAUAGCUCUCAAAAAUGAGAUGAGAACUCUUAAAGGCUCAGAAACUUAAAAAAUAUAUAUAAUUUAAUUUCAGUAUCAUAGAUUUUUAACUUGGCAUUUCAAAAAUCUGUAAUUCAUCACACCAUGCAAACAGGGAGAAAAAUCUGGGGUAAGAAUAUCACAACCUAGCUGCAUUUUUUUUUCUUUAAUUUGUUCUUCUGUUUGUUCUUCCAUGGCCCUAUAUAAAUGCCAGAUUUGCAGACCAUACUGUGUGCCUAUUCCCCAGUCAUUUCACUUGGCAGAAAAAUUCCCUCUGAUUUGUAUCUGUGUUUCAACAGCCAGCAGCUUAGUGUGAAAACCUAUUUUGAGUGCCUUAACCUUGUUCUUUCAUGUUGGCUUUUCUGACAUGUCAGCUUUCCAUAGUAGGUGACUCGUAUGCUGUUCAUCUCCUUUAGGGAAAACAGGAGAAUCCACUCUUUGAGUUUUGACUACUCUGCUUUGUAAGAUACUUUUUAAGAUUUCUGGCUAACUCCGUAAUAAAAAGUUGGUGGUGAAACUUGGAA